AGAUUGCAGAGGGGAUCACAUUAGAGAAGACAUCAUGUCCCUUGGGCAUUCUCCUGAUUGUUUUUGACUCUCGACCUGAUGCACUUGUUCAGGUAUUUAAGGAUUCUUACAAGUCUCCAUUGAGCAUCAUCAUCCUAGAUGACAUUGAAAGGUUAUUGGAAUACACACCAAUUGGACCACAGUUUUCAAAUUUGAUUUUACAGACACUGCUGCUCUUCAUCAAACGACUUCCUCCAAAGGUU